rnacentral:rRNA from 1 species
UACGUAGGUGACCAGCGUUGUCCGGAUUUACUGGGCGUAAAGAGCGCGCAGGCGGUCGUUCAAGUCGAGUGUGAAAGCCCCCGGCUCAACUGGGGAGGGUCACUCGAUACUGAUCGACUUGAAGGCAGGAGAGGGAAGCGGAAUUCCCGGUGUAGUGGUGAAAUGCGUAGAUAUCGGGAGGAACACCAGUGGCGAAGGCGGCUUCCUGGCCUGUUCUUGACGCUGAGGCGCGAAAGCUGGGGAGCAAACAGGG